GGUUUCCUAUUAUUUAUCUUAUUUUUAAAUUAAAACAAAAAACAAAAAAAAAAAAAACAAAACCAUCGUCCACUCCACCCUCCUUCCCAUUUACCUAACAUAUCACUUCUCUCUCUCUCUCCACCCCCUUCUGUUGGUCCGGCUAUCUUCUUCGACCACCGGUCGUCACUUCCCCGUGGAUGUUUUCCUUUGUCAUCGACACCGACAUCACAACACUCGAGGCUUCGUUAGUUCGUCUUCUCUGAGAGAGGAUAGUGUUGGAUUUGUACCAAAGGGGAAUCGAGAUGCCCUAGUCGUCAACUACCACCGGACCGCCAACCUCCAUCAAUCUUGUCUCUUCCACCCUUCUUGCUGCUAGACAAUCUUCCAUACUUCCUGCUGCUUCAUCGAUCAUUUUGGCAUUUGGGGUUCAAAAAUCAAAGAUUGUAAAUGUUUUGAUUCUAGUAUCUUAUACCCGAUUUUUAUAUUGGUUUUGGUUUUGAGGUAUGAUUUUGAGGUUUAUCAAGGUAUAAUUUCAGAUUUGAUGCUAAACUUUGUAAUGAUUUUGAUCUUGAGGUUUAUAAAUGUAUGAUUGCAGAAUAUACCUACAAUGUAUGAUUUCAAUUUUCUGGUUUGA